rnacentral:rRNA from 1 species
GCCGUAACUUCGGGAGAAGGCACGCUGAUAUGUAGGUGAGGUCCCCCGCGGAUGGAGCUGAAAUCAGUCGAAGAUACCAGCUGGCUGCAACUGUUUAUUAAAAACACAGCACUGUGCAAACACGAAAGUGGACGUAUACGGUGUGACGCCUCCCCGGUGCCGGAAGGUUAAUUGAUGGGGUUAGCGCAAGCGAAGCUCUUGAUCGAAGCCCCGGUAAACGGCGGCCGUAACGAUAACGGUCCUAAGGUAGCGAAAUUCCUUGUCGGGUAAGUUCCGACCUGCACGAAUGGCGUAAUGAUGGCCAGGCUGUCUCCACCCGAGACUCAGUGAAAUUGAACUCGCUGUGAAGAUGCAGUGUACCCGCGGCAAGACGGAAAGACCCCGUGAACCUUUACUAUAGCUUGACACUGAACAUUGAGCCUUGAUGUGUAGGAUAGGUGGGAGGCUUUGAAGUGUGGACGCCAGUCUGCAUGGAGCCGACCUUGAAAUACCACCCUUUAAUGUUUGAUGUUCUAACGUUGACCCGUAAUCCGGGUUGCGGACAGUGUCUGGUGGGUAGUUUGACUGGGGCGGUCUCCUCCUAAAGAGUAACGGAGGAGCACGAAGGUUGGCUAAUCCUGGUCGGACAUCAGGAGGUUAGUGCAAUGGCAUAAGCCAGCUUGACUGCGAGCGUGACGGCGCGAGCAGGUGCGAAAGCAGGUCAUAGUGAUCCGGUGGUUCUGAAUGGAAGGGCCAUCGCUCAACGGAUAAAAGGUACUCCGGGAUAACAGGCUGAUACCGCCCAAGAGUUCAUAUCGACGGCGGUGUUUGGCACCUCGAUGUCGGCUCAUCACAUCCUGGGGCUGAAGUAGGUCCCAAGGGUAUGGCUGUACGCCAUUUAAAGUGGUACGCGAGCUGGGUUUAGAACGUCGUGAGACAGUUCGGUCCCUAUCUGCCGUGGGCGCUGGAGAACUGAGGGGGGCUGCUCCUAGUACGAGAGGACCGGAGUGGACGCAUCACUGGUGUUCGGGUUGUCAUGCCAAUGGCACUGCCCGGUAGCUAAAUGCGGAAGAGAUAAGUGCUGAAAGCAUCUAAGCACGAAACUUGCCCCGAGAUGAGUUCUCCCUGACCCUUUAAGGGUCCUGAAGGAACGUUGAAGACGACGACGUUGAUAGGCCGGGUGUGUAAGCGCAGCGAUGCGUUGAGCUAACCGGUACUAAUGAACCGUGAGGCUUAACCCU